UACGUAGGGACCGAGCGUUGUCCGGGUUCAUUGGGCGUAAAGAGCUCGUAGGCGGCCACUCAAGUCGAAUGUGAAACCUCGAGGCUCAACCUCGAGCCUGCAUUCGAUACUGGGCGGCUAGAGUCUGGUAGGGGGAUCUGGAAUUCCUGGUGUAGCGGUGGAAUGCGCAGAUAUCAGGAGGAACACCGGAGGCGAAGGCGGCUCACUGGGGAUUUUCUGACGCUGAGGAACGAAAGCCAGGGGAGCAAACGGG
rnacentral:rRNA from 1 species